UGGGAUCUGAGGAGCUGGGGCACAGGAGCAGCCUGGCAGGAGCUGUGUGAGCAUCACCUGGCCAUGGGAUGGGAUCUGAGGAGCUGGGACACAGGAGCAGCCUGGCAGGAGCUGUAAUAACAGUGGCCCUCGCUGUGUUUUCCCUGGAUCGUGGGCUGCUGGAAGCCAGAGGGAAGCUUUGGAGGAGGAGGAGGAGGAGGAGGAGGAGGGCAGAAGGAUCCUUUUCCCCAGCAGAGCUGCAGGCCGGGCUCCUUGGCCUCCUCAAGCCUUCAUGGACGGCUCUGUGGACAUCAUCCAGGGAAAUGCGUGUUUGGGGCUCCCUGAGACGCCUCAGAAAAUCCCCAGAGCACAGCCAGGUCUGAGCUCUGCAGGGCUUUUUUGGGAUGCUGCUCCAAGCAGGUGCUGAGCAAGGGGUGGUGAUGCCUUCCCUGGAGCAGGAAGGGUUCCGUGGCUCUGUGAGGACAGAUGUGUGGGAAGGCAAACAUCCCACUGCUGGGGACACAGGCUACCAACGGCUCAAGGAGGAGAGGGAGAAAUAUCCGACAUUUCCUGACACGGGCUGCCCUCGGGAGUUCCUCAGGAAGGUUUUUAAAGGAAUAUUUAUGGAUGAUCCUGGUGAAUCAGGCCCUAAAAGG